CGCUGGCAGCUGGCCAGUUUCUGGUGAUUGACAACACAGCUGUCCAAUAGAGUCGCAGAGCUGGAGCCUCGGUUCCGCCCCGUCGUGCUCCCCUGCUAUAAAGGGGUCUGGAGGCUGAGGCGGCUGAGGCCCUUGAGCACACUCCCACAUCCCGAGCUGUCUGCCUGUGCUAAAGAUCGGUGCUGACAUGGUACUUCUGCAUAACCUUGGUUCAGAACUUGCCAGCACACCAGUUUGUGUAAAACGUGCUAUUUGGAGGAACAGGAGAAACAGCAUUGUUGGAGAGGUCAUUUCUGCAUGGAGUGGCAGACAGCCUGGUCUGCAGGGACCAAAGCACCUCUGGCUUGCAGGAAGUGAGCUGCAGUUGAGAGAAGGCAUUUGUCAUGAGGAAGCUGAUACCCGCAGAGGAGUCCAAACCCAGUUCACAGACAUCUUCAUGAGAAACAAGCCCAUCCUGGCUUCAUCUGUAUGUCCACAGUGAAUGACAAUGGUUGCAGAAACCCAAGCCUUUCCUGAUUUUGUGGUCCCUUGCCCUCUUCCAGCAGCAAGUGAGGGCUGGAAACAGCAGGUAGGAUGCCCAGGAUGGAGGGGGUUGCUGCACGUUCACGUAUGGGGUGGGCUGCCUGUCUGCAAUGGGCUCUGAACCCUGCACCCACAUUAAGGGGUGGUGUGAGAACAUGUAAGCCUUUACCUGAAGAUGGCUGCUGGGAUAGUUCAUCUGCUCCCAUGUGCUCUGCGUUGGCUCCAAGAAGGAAGGUAUGUGGGUGUUGGGCCAGCCUGUAUCCUCCAGCAAUUCCAGCCUUCAGGCACGGGGCAGGGCAAAUAAUAAAUGCUUUUCCUGAGGCAGGCUAUUAGCUGAGUUUGUGAAGGCUGGUGAUGUUUAGAGAAAGAAGUUUCUAAGCAGAAGGAAACCCCAUCCGUUCCUCUCAUCCCUGCCUCAUAGAAAGGCAGGAUCUGGGUUCAACUCCAGAGCAAGCAGCUGUGUGGUGCCUCACAAAGGGCCCAACUCACAGGCAAGCUUGGGAUGGAUCCUGCCAGAAAACCAUGUGCAGGUCUGAAUGUGGGGCUGACACUUGAAAGCAGAUCUGAUUGACACCCAUCUGGAUUACAUCUUCCUGCAAAGAAACCUAGUAAAGGUCUGACGUGUACUUCAGCAGAAGUUCCUCUUAACAAAUGCCAGCCUGGAAGCUCUUUAAUACACAGCUUCACCUUCAGAUUACAAACAAAUAUGGUUGGGCGUUUAAAGCAAUGUCAAUCCCAAGAGCAAGAGGGAGCAUAGAGAGGGACUAUGCCACAACAGUUGCUUAUUUACUCCUCUUUUUCUUCAAAUACCAUUGAUGUUCAGACUUUUUUGCCUUAAAAGCUGCUGCUUGUUAAUUGAUUCUCCUGACCUAACCCAACCCAGCUGGAACCAGUGCCUAAAACAGAUUUCCACCUGUUCACUCACUAUGUCUUUCUUUUUCCCUGUCUCUCUUUUUCUCCAUCUUCACAACUUGAAAGUUUUCAAAAGCCCACAAGCCUAUUUAUUUGCUUGAUUCUGACUUUCCUCUACAGUACUUCAAAGGUGGGGUUUUUUGCUUCCCCUGCUGUUUUUGUCGUCUUCUGUUUCUCUCUUUUUCUUUUCUCUCAUUCUUAUUUUAUGUUAUCUGCCAUGAUGCUAUCAAUGAGAACCUCUCUAAUUGCCAGUUUUGGAGAACUGAGUGUAAAAAAAUGACAAUGACACUUGCUCUUUUGCCAUUGGUCCUGAGCAAUAACCGCCCUAUUGCUCAUAGAAUGGUAUCUUUGCUAAUAUUGGUAAAUACAUUCACCAAAUUGUGUUCCUUGAAUAGUUUGUGUUUACUUUGAGAUGUUCCAUCUGUUUACUGCUAGAAAAAUAUAGACUAAUUGAAUUCCCACUUCCUUAUUAGGUGCUUCCCUCUGAAAUGAAAGCUGUUGUAAGGAUUAGCAUACAGCUGCAAAAUUGCAACAAAAAAAAUCUAAGUUUAGUACUCUUCAGUGUUGACAAUGAGCACACACAUUUCAGCAUAGAAAAACCUUUCAAACUUUCUUAAUAUUUUUACAGUAUCACGGUCUUGUUGUGAAGAGUAUCAGUCUCAUUGCGUAACUCAUGAUGCAAUCUUUAAAUGUGUUCUGUUCUCUCCCUAAGCCAUUACGUUUACAUACCUCCCUGUGAGCUGUUUGGCUUUGUUCCCUUAGGAUGUAUUUAGGAUACCUGUAUUAUUAACAGUAGGUACCUGCUAUUUCUGUGUUAACUACACAUUUGGUGUCACCUACACGUGUCACUGUCAGAGCUAGAAGCCACACAUAUCCUAAACUGCACUGUUAAUGUCUUACAGGGAGGCUGAAGAGUAAAGCAUCCUUAUUACCUUGUGUGGUUUUUAUUAACACAUGAAUAUAUAAAAUGCAUAUUGCUUUAUUCUCUA